rnacentral:lncRNA from 1 species
GUUUUUGUAACGAACCCAUAGUGCCCCAAAAUCUCAAACCCCCAAUCCCAAAUAUUCAACACAAUGUAAGUACCAAUCCCACCAAUAAGCCCAUAUGCAAUAGAAUACGUCAAAGGCAUAAGUAUCAUUGUCACAAACGCAGGUAUUGCUUGUCUCAUAUCUUCCCAAUCAAUCUCCACCACUGAUCUCAUCAUCAAAACUCCCACUAAAAUCAAUGGUGGUCCCACAGCCCAAGCCGGAAUCGAAGCCAACAACGGUGUAAAAAACAACGCCAUGAAAAAAUAACCAGCCACCGUCAACGCCGUUAUCCCCGUUCUUCCACCUUCUCUUAUCCCCGUUGAAGACUCAAUAAACGCCGUUACCGGUGAAGUUCCUAACAACGACCCCACAACAAUCGACGUGGCAUCCGACAUAAACGCAAAGUAUUGUCCCUCAAAAUCUCCGUUUUCGUCGGUGAAACCUGCGAACCUUGCCAUAGAAUACAACGUUCCUGUCGUGUCUAAAAUGUCCACGUAUAAAAAUGUUACCACAGCUUCCCAAAAAUACCCUUUACCUAUGCUGUUAAAACUUAAAGCGCCUGCUGUGGAUUUUAUUGUGUGUAUAUCUACCACCUUCUUGAAAUACUCGUGAGCUGAAUCACCGGCGGCGCUGUUAGGAAACGCCGUUACUUUCGUGUUUCGAAACCACGAAAUUGCUGUUACGAAAACGAUUCCGUAUAUCAUUGCUCCUUUCACGUUUUUUACUAAACAAUACGCGAUUAUAAUAAAGCCCACCAGGCCCAACCAGAGUGUUGGGCUUUCCAUUCUAUCACGGAGACAAAAUAUAUCACCAGAAACCGUUCCACCUGGGAGUAAACUAACGGUUCCGUUAAGGGCAGUUAUAACCGGAGCUAAAGAAGCCCGUGAUGAGCUUGGGCAGCCACCGAGUGUGACUAAAGUGGAUGAGCUAUAUCCGACGAGCCCGAUUCCUUGAUUGUUUUGAAGCCCGAUGAAAGCGAGAAAAAGGCCGAUACCAGCGGAGGAGCUUAUUCUAACGGGCUUUGGAACGAGUUUAGCGAGUUUUGCUCGUAGACCGACUGAUGAAAUGAGUAAGAAGAACAUUCCUUCAAUGAAAACUGCUGCGAGUGCGCUUUGGUAGGAGAUAGUGCCGGAACCGUGAAAGCCCACGACGGUGUAAGCGAAGUAAGCGUUUGAGCCCAUACCUGGAGCAAGGCCUAAUGGGAGAUUAGCAAAAGCACCCAUGAUGAAGCAACCAAUGAGGGAAGAAGCCACGGUUGCGACGAUCAAGUCUUUUCGGGUUUUAUCAAGACAAGCGGCGUAGCCCGGGUUAACAGGGGCAAAUUUGCAUGAGAUAUCAGGCUGAAUGAGAUGAAAUGAUGGGCCGGUACAGUUUGAGGUAGAGAUGGAUGGGUUUGAACAGAGAGGAACACAAUCGGAAACAGAGCAUGUGCCGCCGGAAUCAGUUAGAAUGGAGGCGUUGACGGCGAGGAUGUAAGCCAUGGUGAGGAAAGUGGCGGUUCCGGCACGGAGUUCAGUGGUGAAAGUGGAGUUACGUUGGGAGAGUUUAAAAUAUUUUCCUACUCUAGUUUUCGCCACAUAGGAGUUGAAACGAGAGAUGGGUUUUGUGUGGGCUUGGUGGGCUGGAAGUGGGGGCCUUUGAGGUUGAGUUUGACCCUCCAUCUCCAUUUGAGUAUGCAGUUUUAUAUAUGUUGGGUUGAUGUGUUAAGGUUUAUAUAGGAUUUUUGUGGAUAAAUUGUUAAUGAGAUCAAGGUAUGAUGUUGGAUUCGUGUGGAUGUAUAUUUUUGGUGUUUUGUGAGAGAGAGAGAGUGGAAAGUGGCAAGGUUUGAUUUGUGGUUGUGUUGCUUGGAUUGCAAUUUGUUUAUGCUUAAGGAUAGAUUCUAAAAGAAUGGGAUCUUUCUUCUAAUAUAGAUAGAUAACAGUGCCAGCAGUGAGGGUAUCAAAUUUGAGGAAUUUAUUUUUUUCUUCUUUUAUUGUUACCGAUAAUUAAUCAAUUCAAAAUGGUGUCAACUGUGAAUUGUCG